rnacentral:rRNA from 1 species
CUACGGGAGGCAGCAGUGGGGAAUCUUAGACAAUGGGCGCAAGCCUGAUCUAGCCAUGCCGCGUGUGUGAUGAAGGCCUUAGGGUCGUAAAGCACUUUCGCCUGUGAAGAUAAUGACUGUAGCAGGUAAAGAAACCCCGGCUAACUCCGUGCCAGCAGCCGCGGUAAUACGGAGGGGGUUAGCGUUGUUCGGAAUUACUGGGCGUAAAGCGCGCGUAGGCGGGCUGGAAAGUUGGGGGUGAAAUCCCGGGGCUCAACCCCGGAACUGCCUCCAAAACUCCCAGCCUAGAGGUCGAGAGAGGUGAGUGGAAUUCCGAGUGUAGAGGUGAAAUUCGUAGAUAUUCGGAGGAACACCAGUGGCGAAGGCGGCUCACUGGCUCGAUACUGACGCUGAGGUGCGAAAGUGUGGGGAGCAAACAGGAUUAGAUACCCCUGGUAGUCCACACCGUAAACGAUGAAUGCCAGUCGUCGGGGAGCUUGCUCUUCGGUGACGCAGUUAACGCUUUAAGCAUUCCGCCUGGGGAGUACGGUCGCAAGAUUAAAACUCAAAGGAAUUGACGGA